AUGUUCCACUGUGACCUAACAUUGAACCAACUUAUUCAUUUAUUCACAAGAGACUUCAUUAGCAGAUGCAGGCAAUGUGUUUGGACCCUGGAGAGACUGCAGGUCCCUUUCCACGUGGCUGUGCCUCUGCUGCAGCAUUUCUGUUUUCACAUAGUGACGCAGCACCAACAUACGGCAGGCUGCCAAGAACUGACAACAGCUUUCUGUCUGCGCCCUGACAGCCAUUCCCCACUUUCUCCUCUCCUGUGAUUUAAUGAGUAAGUACCACCCUCUCACACUAAAUAAAGGGCUAAGUGGGGUAGGAUGGGAAAAAAAGGCAGCUCAUUGGUUGUACAAGUCCCUGUAUCCCUUGAUGUCUUC
rnacentral:lncRNA from 1 species